CCUACGGGAGGCAGCAGUGAGGAAUAUUGGUCAAUGGGCGCUAGCCUGAACCAGCCAAGUAGCGUGAAGGAUGACUGCCCUAUGGGUUGUAAACUUCUUUUGGAUGGGAAUAAAGUGGAGUAUGUAUACUGCUUUGCAGGUACCUUAUGAAUAAGGAUCGGCUAACUCCGUGCCAGCAGCCGCGGUAAUACGGAGGAUCCGAGCGUUAUCCGGAUUUAUUGGGUUUAAAGGGAGCGUAGGCGGGUGGUUAAGUCAGUUGUGAAAGUUCGCGGCUCAACCGUAAAAUUGCAGUUGAUACUGGCAUCCUUGAGUACAGUAGAGGUAGGCGGAAUUCGUGGUGUAGCGGUGAAAUGCUUAGAUAUCACGAAGAACACCGAUUGCGAAGGCAGCCUGCUGGACUGCAACUGACGCUGAUGCUCGAAAGUGUGGGUAGCAAACAGGAUUAGAUACCCCAGUAGUC
rnacentral:rRNA from 1 species